rnacentral:rRNA from 1 species
UUGGAGAGUUUGAUCCUGGCUCAGGACGAACGCUGGCGGCGUGCUUAACACAUGCAAGUCGAACGGAAAGGCCCUUCGGGGUACUCGAGUGGCGAACGGGUGAGUAACACGUGGGUAAUCUGCCCUGCACAUCGGGAUAAGCCUGGGAAACUGGGUCUAAUACCGGAUAGGACCACGGGAUGCAUGUCCUGUGGUGGAAAGCUUUGCGGUGUGGGAUGGGCCCGCGGCCUAUCAGCUUGUUGGUGGGGUGACGGCCUACCAAGGCGACGACGGGUAGCCGGCCUGAGAGGGUGUCCGGCCACACUGGGACUGAGAUACGGCCCAGACUCCUACGGGAGGCAGCAGUGGGGAAUAUUGCACAAUGGGCGCAAGCCUGAUGCAGCGACGCCGCGUGGGGGAUGACGGCCUUCGGGUUGUAAACCUCUUUCACCAUCGACGAAGGUUCGGGUUUUCUCGGAUUGACGGUAGGUGGAGAAGAAGCACCGGCCAACUACGUGCCAGCAGCCGCGGUAAUACGUAGGGUGCGAGCGUUGUCCGGAAUUACUGGGCGUAAAGAGCUCGUAGGUGGUUUGUCGCGUUGUUCGUGAAAUCUCACGGCUUAACUGUGAGCGUGCGAGCGAUACGGGCAGACUUGAGUACUGCAGGGGAGACUGGAAUUCCUGGUGUAGCGGUGGAAUGCGCAGAUAUCAGGAGGAACACCGGUGGCGAAGGCGGGUCUCUGGGCAGUAACUGACGCUGAGGAGCGAAAGCGUGGGGAGCGAACAGGAUUAGAUACCCUGGUAGUCCACGCCGUAAACGGUGGGUACUAGGUGUGGGUUUCCUUCCUUGGGAUCCGUGCCGUAGCUAACGCAUUAAGUACCCCGCCUGGGGAGUACGGCCGCAAGGCUAAAACUCAAAGGAAUUGACGGGGCCCGCACAAGCGGCGGAGCAUGUGGAUUAAUUCGAUGCAACGCGAAGAACCUUACCUGGGUUUGACAUGCACAGGACGCCGGCAGAGAUGUCGGUUCCCUUGUGGCCUGUGUGCAGGUGGUGCAUGGCUGUCGUCAGCUCGUGUCGUGAGAUGUUGGGUUAAGUCCCGCAACGAGCGCAACCCUUGUCUCAUGUUGCCAGCGGGUAAUGCCGGGGACUCGUGAGAGACUGCCGGGGUCAACUCGGAGGAAGGUGGGGAUGACGUCAAGUCAUCAUGCCCCUUAUGUCCAGGGCUUCACACAUGCUACAAUGGCCGGUACAAAGGGCUGCGAUGCCGCGAGGUUAAGCGAAUCCUUUUAAAGCCGGUCUCAGUUCGGAUCGGGGUCUGCAACUCGACCCCGUGAAGUCGGAGUCGCUAGUAAUCGCAGAUCAGCAACGCUGCGGUGAAUACGUUCCCGGGCCUUGUACACACCGCCCGUCACGUCAUGAAAGUCGGUAACACCCGAAGCCAGUGGCCUAACCCUUUGGGAGGGAGCUGUCGAAGGUGGGAUCGGCGAUUGGGACGAAGUCGUAACAAGGUAGCCGUACCGGAAGGUGCGGCUGGAUCACCUCCUUU